ACAUUAAUUUAAUAAAAUGGUAAAUUCUAAUUAAUAACAGGCAUUAGUUAAAAGAUUGGCACAGCAUGAAUAAUGUAAACACAGGUAUCAGAGUGACAUAUUUUCACCUUUUUGUCAUCUAGACAACAUUAAGUGCUACUCAGGAAAACAGAAAAGUGGACAUCUACAAAUGAGAUGGACAUUUUAACGACAGAAGUCAGCUAACCCCCAACCUGAAUACUUCUAUGCACUGGACAAUCUUAGGAGCCUGAGAACCAGGAAAUAUCAGGGAUAUUUACCUUAAUCCACAGUAUCUAAUGGGCCAGGCACCUUAAAGAUAUCAAAAGACCAGGGUUACCGUGCAUUUCCAUGCUUGAGUGAUUUCAUGACUUCCACCAGCUAUGCUUGAUUCGAUGUGUGCAUUAUGAACAGGGAAUAUGAAACACAGUCAUGGUUUGGAAAAAAAAGCUUUUGUAUUGCCAUGGAAUUUAAAUAAAUCUUUUGUGAUAUUUUCAAUAUAAAAAGGAUCUGGCUUUAAAUCCUGAAUUACAAACUUUGAAAGUUCACCAGAUGAAAUAUUUAAUUGAUUCACAGCAUCCUUAAAUGUGAAUUUUAAACUUUCAGUUUAUUUUGUAGCAUAUUGUAAAUGCUGUUUAAGAU